CAGGGCACGUCGGCGGCACCGGGAGGAGAGGACACCGGCGGCGACGGCACGUGGUGGCGGCGGCGGCGGUCGCGUUGGUCCCGUUGGGAUAGUCGGUAACGCGGCUGUCAGUGUCGUGUGGGAUCUUAAGUGGUAGGGCGGCGGCGUACGCGAUCGGGCCCUGGAUCGGACGAGCGCCUAGGGAGCAGCGAAGCGGGCUGCGCUGGGCGCUACGUAGCGCGGUACGCCGACGCGACGGAGGACGCGGGAGGCGGCAGAACGCCAUGGCACGGGGAGCGGUGGGGGCGCUGGCAGCCGCCACCGCGGCCCUCUAAACCGCGCGGGCUGCCCCGUGCCUCCGACCCACGCGGCGCGGACGGGAAGCCGCUUCCCCCCGCCGAGACGGCCAAGAUGUCGAGCUUCCUCCCACAGCCCUCGCGCCUCUGCCGACGCCCCUCACCGCCGCCGCCGUCGUUGGUCGUCCUCGUGCGCGCCGAGCCCCUCUUCCUGGUUGUCCUCACCGAAUUGCCGCUCGCCAAGCAGUGGCCGACGUUCUCCGCCCUCAGCGGCAAGGAGUGGUUUGCCCUCGCGAAGGCGUUGCUCAAAGACGCGGCGCGGCACGGAACCCUCUUCUCGUCGGAGUGCACCUCGUUGAAGGGCAUGAUGCAGCUAUUCUUACGCUUCGUCGACGACUGGCUCACACACCGUAGUGUGGACGCCUUGUUCCUACGAUGAAACCUCAUGCCAAGAGCCGACGUCAGCAGGCCACCCUCCUAUAACGAGGUCUCGAACAGUCCUUGACUCGAAAUGGCCCUCUCUAACCAUUCUCGCUAACGAGUGCUCAAUGCGCAUGGUAACAACCAAGACCUGUCGUCACAAGAUCGAGGUAUACUAUUACCACUUCUAACAAGUCUCUCACUCCUUCUCUUACCAGUUGGCCUCAGUCUUCUACUUCCGAGUCUUAGUCUUCCCCUUCUACUUCUAAUAUUACUUCGAUUCAGACCACUUUCACUGCUGCUGCUUCAACCGUUUAGUCACCUCUUGGAGUUCUUCAAUCAAGGCGCGUGAGAACUCCUUAAACGGUUCCCUCAACAAUCACGCGUUCUUUUAAGAAGUCGUCGUCUUCUUAGGUGGCGACUCAGCGGACUUCUUCUCUUUUCCGGAGAGGUUUUUCCACUAUCCCACUUCAUACAACCUCUCAGUCACGAACAACUUCGUCUAGUGUCCCAGUAAAACCCCUUUUAUGGUUGAGUUCUCCCUCGUCGUCUUCGGAAAUGGAAAUAAUCGCCGUCUUGAAAUAGUUUACCUGUCGCACCUCUCUAUAUGCUCUAGUUACCACUAGUUCACCGACAAAAUAAAGUGGGAGGACUCCUCUUCGACCUACUACCAUUUUUAUUACUUCGAUUGUUUCUCGUUCUACGAUUUGGUAGUCAAACGACCCAACUGUGAGUCCUAUAACACGAACUGGUACUGUGACUCCGCCUUCUAACCGUAUAGCGCUACCUUCGUAAAACACUCCGUGACGGUAGAGAAGUUGGUCGGUAACAAAUGAAAGGCCUGUCAAGUGUUACCGAAAGAUCCCGUCAAGGUUCUAGUUUAGCGUCUCUCAAAUAGCUUUUCCAUCUCCUUUACAAACUGGUCGAAUUACCUGGAAAUCACAACUAUACACCCGUCUUGUAUGAGCUCCGUCGUGGGUUCCUAUUUCUAGGUUUCCGCGACUACAAAGUGUUAGAGAGAGCGGACAGAGGUGACUGUAGUAGGAACUUCUCCGACCAUCCCCCUGAUGUUCCCGCCUUCGGAAGUUUCAGGUUACCGUAUUGCUUUGAGAAGCCUUUAUUUAAGAUAUAAGGAAAUGGUUUCCUACUACUCGUUGACUCUCAAAAGUUAUUGGUCUAACGUCUCCUGUUUUUUUAUUAGCAAAGUUCCGUAUUGGAACAUCUUAACGUGUUCCACGAACUUCUAGUACCCGAUAGUACACUUUUAGACAACGUACACUUCAAUCUCUCGUAAUAAGACUGCUUCGUUUCUCGCCUCUUCCAGUAACCUACCCGAUCUUCAGUGAUAAACAGCAGUCGCUAAUUAGGAAGGUAUUUCCCACUGUUCGAUCAGUAAGGGGCACUCUCAGACCUGGAUCGUUAGCUCUCCGAUUCCCUCGACCUCCGAAGUUGAUUCAGUGAGAGACUUUUGUACUUCUACAACCGUUUUCUACUUAAACUCGCGUUAAAGUAUAGUCGUCAACAUGGAGGGGUACUUUAACCUCAAUUUAAACUUCUAUAACCGCGAGAACUCCUACAGUUCUUCUGUGACCUACUUGAACAAUGAGAAGGUUACUCCUCUGGUCUCGAAAAGAGCGCACCCUUGAACGAUUCCGGAACGUUUCCUUAUAACGAAAAACCCGGAGGACCUUGACCUUUUUGAGAAAACCGUUUCCGUGAACGCUGUCUUCGACCUCGUUUAAAAUAGUCGUAUUGACCAAGAUCAGAGUGCAGCUUCACCAAACCUCUGCCACUCUUCGAGUGGUUUCGGGAAAAGAGCAAACGUUCAGCCGAUCGAGGACAAUAGUAUAAACACCUACUCCAACUGUCGAAUGAACCACGUUCCCCACCACGUUACCUCGUACUUCGUUGCUCUUCCUACGCGUUACUUAAAUACCGUCGAACCCUACCAGAUUCCAGGUUUCUGUCAGUUUCCUAGGAAUAAGAACCACGUUGUUUGGCAGGUAAACUAGAUCUACUGCGACAUUAUGCAGCAAACGGAUCCUCCUAUAUGCACCUGGAAGGUCUACGCGUCUUAUCCUACUUUUAAGAGUUCUAUAAUGAACGGUUUCUUUUGUAUCUUAGACUUAAACCUAAACUGCUUGAUCGGCUACGUUGUCUUCCAAUGAGACCCUCACUGAACUUCUUGGAUACGCAUCGACGUCGUAUGUCCGGUCAAGUACUUGACGAUCUUCUUCUUUUCUUCCCCCGACACCCGUCAUGCUUUUGAAGAAACUCCAGGAAUUUCAACCUACUGAAACAGGUUCGCUUUCGGUUCCACUCGGGUAGACAACGGAAGCUACGGUGUUCGUACUUGCUCGAUUCUUUUACCUUGCUCGUCAUGCCUCUUCCGCCGUCGUCCUCGUUUAGCGGUAAGCCCAAGCCGUCGAUUGUACUAAGGCCAUCGUUAAAACGGUGUGACAUAGUGAACAUCAUGGUUACACGAGGCUAAAUCGGUAUCCCUCAGUCUAGUCGCUAUCGCGAUAAGGAAACUUUGAGACUACAGGUGGAAAACGCCAAAACGGACAUCGCAGGUGAGACGAGGAAAGAGGUGAAAAGCCAUGAGUGGAUCUCGGGAUAAACUCGCCAUGAUGCCACCGGGACAAAGCAACUCUUUGUGCGGACUGCUUGUGCCUUCAAAGGACUCGGACACUACCAUCACUAUGUGCCCCAGCGGGUAAAUAAACACAACAUGUGGCAACGGCGGCUCCGGACUAGUUUUACAUUUAUCUAGGUCUUUAAAAACGUGGGUCUUGUCGACUGCCACAUGCAGACAUUUUAUUUGGUGUAUAAGACAACGAAGCAAAGUUGACAAAUAAAAAAAGGACUGACCUAUUACUAAAGACGUGUUCACAGACGAAUUCCCAUUCGGUUUGCACGAAAAUAAAGAACACAAGG
rnacentral:rRNA from 1 species